rnacentral:lncRNA from 1 species
ACGUGUACUGCUGACACAAUAGCCCGGAGCCAGCGGGCUUUGGAGCCACUUCUGUUCCAUCACGUAAUUACCUUCAGAGGGUGUAUUUAUAGCAACAGACGCGCCAAAGGAGGAGUGGAGGCUCGGCUGGAGACCCCGUCCAUCCCUGUAGUCUCUUGGUGGCCUCCGCAGUGGCCUCCCAAUGGGAUCUCUCUGCUUCUAGGAGAUGCAACUCGCUCUGCCGAGCCCCUGAAGUGAUCAUUCCACAACACAGAUCUGAUCCUAUCCUGGAACUGGUUAAAGCUCAUCUGUGACUCGCCCACCUCCUAGAAGGCCCCCUGUCAGCGAUCAGUGGAAGAUGCAAAGUGAGCCUGCAGUCUGCAGGAGAAAAGGGCGUAAACACAAACACGCACACCCUCCGGUCACAGGUGUUCUGCAGAAACAAGGUCCCCUCAAAACUCCAUCUUGUAGAGAAGAUGCCAUGACAUCCACACCUGCAGGUUUUCAGGAAUGUGGGGGUUAUCAUGGGGCAUGUGUUGAUCAAGGGGUCACCUGGGAUCUGCUGAGGCUGCAACUGCGAUCCAACCUGGUAACCCUGACCUGAGACCCUUCCCAUGCUGAACACUUCAGCCUCAAUCACACCUCAGCUCUUCUCCAGAGUAGACAUCUGCAGAACACAUACAUCAAGGAGAUAGGAAGAUGGCCAAGAAACGUGUGGAUUGUCCCACUUCAUAUUUGUUACCUUUGUAAACCCUCUACUUCCCUACAGUUCUGGGUCGCCAGAUACCCAAAAGGGGUACUCAUGAUUCCCCCUUUAAAUGGUAUUGUUCAAACCUGUCCAUCACUUUUCUCUACACUUAUGGCAUUCUCUGUGCAUCUAUAGCAUAACCCUAAAUGAAAGAACCAUGGGAUGGAAAGACUUGAAAUAAGGAUAUCAGAAACUAUCUCACCAAAGCCCUUUACUCUACAGAGUAAACCAUAGCCCAGGAGAGGGAUGUGGCCUGGCCAGCGUCCCCUGGGCAUGUUACAGUUCUCUGAUCACAUUAAGGACUAAGAUUUUUCAUGCAAUUUGAUUGAUGUCCCUAAUGUAAACUGCAAUUGUGAAAAACAACUAAUAAGUUCCCUCCAUUACCUAGAAUGUUUUAUUCCCUCCACUUUAGAAACACACUUAUGGCAAGAAGUCAAAACAAAGAUUUCA